AGGCUGACGUCACUUCUGUUGGCAACUUAUUUCAUUUGUGUGCAGCAUACAGCUAAAUGCUGCUUCACCACAUUUGCUCUGGACUCUGUGCACCACUAUUUGACCUGAGUCUGUAGUAGUGAUGGGAUGAACAACACUGGUGCGUCAGCACUGUGCCGAGCACACAAGAGUGAAACCCCAUAUUGGUUCGUGUAUCGCUUUAAGAAAGAAAUCAUGUGACCGAUACAGGAAGUGUGUCGUUUGGAUGCUCCGUGCAAAAUUGUGUUUAUAAGGAAACAAACUGUUGGACAAACGACAUGUUGCGGAUUUGUUGGAUGGAGUUUUGCUGUUGGAUUUUGGAUUUUUGCUGGCCCUCACCUUGUUCCAAGAGGUUUUCCCCAGUCUGGAAUAAUUUUGAUCUUCUGAUGCCAAAUAAGGUGAAGUUUCUGCUCUGCUCCACAGAGCUAUCUUAUGUCAAUAAGAGCACUUCAUCAAUGCUGAGGCAUUAUAGAGCUCGGCAUGGCAACGAAGAAUUGGCAGUGACUCGUGUGAGUACCCGAGUUCCUAACAAGCAAGCAGUGGAUGAGGCUGUGGUCAACAUGAUCGAUUCAGGGAGUUCCUGAAGCUUAUCAACUCAGACUUAAAUUUUUAUGCUCACCAUCUUCAUCUGUACCCUGUGAAAGAGUUUUUUCUAAGGCAGGAGAAAACAUCUUGGAGCAAAGACACUCAAUAAAAAUGCAUAAAUGAAUCAA